ACUCCUACGGGAGGCAGCAGUGGGGAAUAUUGCACAAUGGGCGCAAGCCUGAUGCAGCCAUGCCGCGUGUAUGAAGAAGGCCUUCGGGUUGUAAAGUACUUUCAGCAGUGAGGAAGGUGGGUAUGUUAAUAGCAUACUCAUUUGACGUUAGCUGCAGAAGAAGCACCGGCUAACUCCGUGCCAGCAGCCGCGGUAAUACGGAGGGUGCGAGCGUUAAUCGGAAUUACUGGGCGUAAAGCGCAUGCAGGUGGUUUGUUAAGUCAGAUGUGAAAGCCCGGGGCUCAACCUCGGAAUUGCAUUUGAAACUGGCAAACUAGAGUACUGUAGAGGGGGGUAGAAUUUCAGGUGUAGCGGUGAAAUGCGUAGAGAUCUGAAGGAAUACCGGUGGCAAAGGCGGCCCCCUGGACAGAUACUGACACUCAGAUGCGAAAGCGUGGGGAGCAAACAGGAUUAGAUACCCUGGUAGGCUCUAGC
rnacentral:rRNA from 1 species